CACAGAACAACGCAAAUGGAGGAAGGACAGGGCUGGGGACGGGGAAACUCCUGGCUUUGGUUUCAGAGCCAGGCCAUCAACAAGAGGAAACAACUCUUCUACGUCACUUUGGGCUCGUUGUAGGGAAGCUGGACUCUCUUCUUUCUGCUUGGUCCCAAGGGGCUCACAUGCCAAGAAUCCCAAGUUCUGGGUUUGCUCUCAGAACCUUUGGAGCUUUGAUUUUAAACGAAUGCUACUUUGCAGGCCAAAUACCACAGGCCUGCGCUGGGGCCCCAAGAAGACAAGAUGUGCACCUGGAGAUAAGACAGGCUCCCAGCGCCACCCAAGCAGUGGGGAAACAAAGAAGAACAGGAAACAGUGGAGAAGGGGAAUGUUUCUAGGGUCUUCCUUGGCUGGGGCAGCACUGUCAAUGUGAGCACAAGAACCAGAGUGACAGAGGGUACCAAAUCCACACCAAUGACUCCUUCCCUUCUCCACUAAGCAGAAAGAACUAUUUUUUUCUCCUUCACUAUUUUCUCUUCGUCUGUUUAGUCUAAAAGGCUGAACUGUUGUACAAAGAAAGUUCUCUCCAAGAAUGAGUUUUCCAGAGAAAGCUUUCAGACAAGGGGAGUGUGAGCCAUGCUUCUGCAGCCUGCAGAAUGGGCCGUGUGUUUAACCGAGGGGCUGGGGCAUGGCCCAACUCCCCGAAGGAUUUAUCCCUUCUGGAAAAUCCAAACAUACAAAUGUGCCUGCUGAAAAAGCAAGGGCAGACUUGGGCACUCAGCUCCCACGCAGGGCUCCCCGCACACCACUCCCCUCCCCUGGAGGCGUUCUCAAUUUUAACCUUUAUAGGCUUCAACCAAACAGAUCAAAGAGAGGGAUAAGCAGUUUUUCUGGGGAUUGGCAGGUCUCAUUUCUCUCCUCAGCUUCACAAAGAGCUCUGGGAGAGAGGGAACAGGGUGCAAAGAGGCUACUCUAGCUCCCGGGAUUUCAGAACUGGACAUCAUCAUCAGAAUUAAAAACACAACUCUGAGGCCCCACAAAAUCGGUGCAACCCUCAGAAGACUCAAAUCCCAAGUGAUUUUGAUCUAGGAACCAUUUGUUAAUGGAGGUUUUAUUCCCAGGUCCAGCAACAAAAAGCUAGGCCAGUUCUGCAUGCCUUGGAAAUUCCAGCCCCCACACUCGCUCCUCCCAGCCUGAAAUGUGCCAUGGAGACGCGCCUGGCUCUGAGACGUGUGUAAGAGUUGAUGGAGAUGGCAGACAGUGAAAUAAGUUAAAUGCUCAUACACAUUCCAAAAUAACCAAGGGGAAGGCUGCUCCCUAGACCAUGUGUGGUGCUGAGGGUUUGAAGUGCCUGACUUUACUUGACCCCCAAAGAGUCUUGCAAAGUCAGGGCUUUUACUUACAUUGCUGUGAUAUCAAGGAAACUGAGACUCUGAAUGGCAGUGCUUGGCAAACCUGUCUCCCUCCACAGCCCAAGCUCCUCCUACCUCCCACACCAUUUUUUUUGACAAAGGCAAUGGGGUAAGGUUUCAGGAAGACUCCAGAAAAUUUCACAGUCUUUGAUCCAGUGCUACAAGUAUGGACUUAACCUAAGGAAAUAAUCACAAAGUGGACAGAGAGAUGUUUGUGAGGAUGUGCAGUAACACUAUUGAUCAUGGCAGAACUUUCAGAGGAAUAAAAUCAAUAUAUGGUACUGAUAAAAUAUGGUGUCAUAUCCACACAAAAGACUACUAUGCCGUCAUUAAAAACACCAGGGUAGGAGGAUAUUCAAAGAUGUGGGAAAAUAUAUGUACAAUGUUAAGUGAAAAACUGAAUGUGUAACCAAAUAUGCGCCAAAAGUAAAGGUUAUAUUCACUUGGGCAUAUCAGCACAAUGGAACAUGAUGGAGCUUUGGAAAAGAAAGAGUUAGUUCUACAUGAAUACCAACUUACAAGGAUUUUUUCUAGUUAAUUUAUGUUUUUCCUAAAAUGAUAUAUUUUUUCUAAAUAAAAGAAAGAGUAAAAAUAAUUUUCAACAAUUAUGUACAGGGCACUCACUAUUUAGAAACUGUCUCGUAUGUGAGCUUUUUAAUAUGUGAAUGGCACUGAGGAGCCAAGUUGCCGGUGCUUAUCAACAUACAAGCCAUCAAGCCAGAAAUCUGGUUUAUUUGUUCAUGUGCUUUUGGUUCACUGUGCAUUGCACGCCAACAGGGUCUGACUACGCAACAGGUCAGAUUUUGUAACCAGGGAGGUCCAGGGGAAGCAGGGAUAAGAUCCAAAUAGAGACAGAGGGAGAAGCAAACAGAUUUCUAGGACUGUGCUGAGGUUUGGGGGCCUCAGGAAGAGGAAGAGAAUUGUUCCUUCCUCAUAAACAGCAGUGCCAAUGCAUGUGGCCGGCUUUGCACACACAGUCUGUUCCUUACUCCCUUCAAAAUAAAAUAAAACCAAUAACUCCUCAGCCAGAGGAGCUAAGAGCAGACCUGAGCAGCAGGCACUGCUCUCACUAACAUCCCUGGCUUUAAUUAUUGUAGAUCGAGUUGAGCGGGUUACCCAGGACCCCAGGCACUGCUGCCCCCACCACUCCUGCCCUUCACUAUAAUAAGUCUUAAUUUCUCUUUCGAUCAAUAACUCCAUGCUUGAAUUCUAAAAUAUAUCAUCUGCUCUCCAGCUCCUUUGAUAAAUGGCUUGAAUCAAUGUCAGGCACAUUAUUCUUACAGCUCUGGCUUAUUGUAUCAAAGACAUCUGGUUUUCCAAGAAGCUUCUAGAACACUGGCUAUUUAAGAACUCUGAAGGCUAGAACUAAGACAGUUUGUUAACUCCUAGGUGGUCACUGCUAGUCUGUGAACUAUAGGUUACUGGUCUUUGAAGACAUAAAUACAAAAGUUGAGAGUAAGUGAUCUAGAAACUUCCAUUGCAAUUUGACAUUGCCACAUUCCUGAACAAGGUAUUGAUCACCCAGGCACCUCUUUCUAUGACCCACAUGCACAGUAUUGUAACUCUUUUUUCUCAUGAUGUGCAUUCUGAUUAUAUUUUUUGAAAUAUAAUUUUAUUCUUGUUUAAUAUAAUAAUUAAACAUUUGAGCUUCUAUCGUGUAUGUCUGUAUUUCAUUUUUCUGGGAAGCCAUUUUUACUGUAUUUUACAAAUAUAUAAAUCUACGGGUUAGAGAUUUUAGAGUGACUACAGAUGAUGAUAAGGUACUGUGUAUUUCAAUAAAAGUUAUAAGAAAGGGGUUUGAAUGUUUUCACCAUGAAAAAAUGAUAAAUGUUUGAGGAGAUAUAUUUAGCUUGAUUUUGAAUAUCACACAUGUGCACAUGUAUUGAAACAUCACAUUACCCCAUACAUAUGU
rnacentral:lncRNA from 1 species